UCUAUCACGACCCCUCUAGUCACAAGCGGCAUGAACCAACUGCGGCCCUGCGGCAACCCAGCGACCGCUGCUCUCCUUUCUCCACGACGGGCAGGCGUCACAUGGGCAGCUCUCCUCAACUGCUGGGGCCAUGCAUCGUCAUCGGCGGAGGCGUGUAGCUGUGAUCUGCUUCGGCGUUCCAAUCUAGGACGAUCCCGUUCUUCUCACAUGAAAGGAUCACCAGGAUCUGGGAGAUGAUUAUCCAAGCUUGGGGAAUUAGGAUACAGACAUACGGUGAAGCAGCGAGGAAUAUGGAUGCUACAACGUCUGAUGGAAAGCAAACGGCCAGACGCGCAAAUCUCCAAGUCUAUUCUGGAGCGCUCAGAUGGAGUUUGUGACCAAGGUCAGAUAACCUGGCAUGCAUGGAUGUUUAUUCGCUUUCUUUUGUUCCUGGAAUGCGUGUAGUCAAAUUUUGUUCAUCUGUGUAUAUGGAGAUAUCUAGGAGUAACUAUUUGUUAAUUGUAUAAAUAUUACUUGUCAGUACAUUUAAAAUUACUUCUCGAAAAUUACUCCCUUAGUAA